rnacentral:rRNA from 1 species
AAUUUGGGCAAUGGGCGAAAGCCUGACCCAGCAACGCCGCGUGGGUGAUGAAGGCCCUCGGGUCGUAAAGCCCUUUUCCCAGGGAAGAUGGUGACGGUACCUGGGGAAUCAGCCCCGGCUAACUACGUGCCAGCAGCCGCGGUAAUACGUAGGGGGCGAGCGUUGUCCGGAUUUAUUGGGCGUAAAGCGCGUGUAGGUGGUUUGUAAAGUCGGAUGUGAAAGUCCAGGGCUCAACCCUGGGAUGCCAUUCGAUACUUGCAGACUAGAGGUAGGUAGGGGGAUCUGGAAUUCCUGGUGUAGCGGUGAAAUGCGUAGAUAUCAGGAGGAACACCGGUGGCGAAGGCGGGAUCCUGGGCCUUACCUGACACUGAUGCGCGAAAGCUGGGGGAGCGAAC